rnacentral:lncRNA from 1 species
GCUUUCACGAGAUGGUGACUGGGUUAGACAACCAUCUGCCCCAGGACAGGCAACUCUCCUCCUUACCCUUAUUCCCCUUCAUAAUUAAGCCUCAAAGCACCCCGCCUCUUCCCCAGUGGUGGGAGACACCAUUGCUUUCUCCAACUCGAACAAGCUCGGAUAUGGCAUCUUGAUACAACACCCCGAUAAAGAGGAAGCCGCCCAGGUACUGCCUAACUCUGGCUCAGUCCAGCUGGGAGAGAUAAGGCAAUAAUAAAGAAGCUUGAGCUGUGCCAAGACGAGACUGCUUUUUUCUGAGAGCCAAUACGCAGUUCGGGCUGCCGGUGUAGUACCCUUCUCCCAGACUGAAGAGUGCCUGAACCCCUUCUAUCUGACAAUGACCAUGCUCCAGAAGCUUCUACAGCAAAGACCCCAUCCUUGGUACAUUUCUCACACUAGGUCACAUUCGGGGAUCCCUGGUGCCUUGGCUCUCGGUGACUCAUCGAAUCUCAUGGACCUUGUGAUUAUGAUUGCCGAUCUAGAACUCCUGGAGCAGGCCCUGGCGCUGCACCAACAACUUCACCUGUCCCCGCAGAGCCUUUGCAAACUUGUCUCAGAGCUCUCAAUGUCUUCGUAAAAUAUCUAGCUCGUUUCAGUGCCACGUGUGCGCCUCUGAUGCCCUUGAGCCCCCUCGAUCGGGCGGGGGAGUGGAUCCUAGAGGCCUAUUACACAGUACCAUACGGCAGACUGACAUUACUCACUAUCCUCCAUUUGGGAACCUUCACUUUGUGCACGUAAUACUG